rnacentral:lncRNA from 1 species
AUGGCUCAUAUUAGAGAAACGGGGGGGGGGUGUCUCCAUCCUUGUCCCACUGAAACCAGUUGCUCUCCCAGUUUGGGCGACGGAAGGCGGGAAGGUCCCCUGCUCCAGCUGCCCGGCUGCCUCUCCGGCAUCCCCGGCGAGGGGCUGAAGGAGGCCGCGCUCUGCCGAGCCUCUCGGGACUUGCUGAGUCCGGCAGGAGGCUGUGGGAGGGGGCAGAGGCGAGCGCAGGGAAGCCGCCGCCGCCGCCCCGCUCCUCCUGCCCCCCUUUGGCUCGGGGCUCGUCUGCCUUGGCGAACCUCGCCUUGCGCUGGAGGGAAGAGCCCUCCUCUCGGAGAGGCAGGGCAGGGCCCCUCCUCUGGAGCGCUGACGUCUCUGCAAUAAACUGCUUUAAAAGGUAACUAUACCCUCCCCUCUAAUUUUCUGCAUUUGUCGGGUGGGGAAGGUUCCCACCAUCUAGGAUUCCGCUGCUGUGGCCACUCCAGUUUACCUGUGAAACAAAGAGUUUGGGGAAAGAGAAAAGGGGGCGAGGCGGAAGGAGUGGAUUGUUACUUAAAGAAAAAGAAAAUCUACGGAUCUGGGGCGCAAAGCAAAAGGGUUCCUUUUUGGUGGGAACCACAAGUUCUGGGGAGGGGGGGUGGGAAAGAGAGAGAGAACAAAGAAAAGUGAAAAGAAUGGAGGAAGUGUGUGUGGCCGGAGUAAUUGAAUGGCAGGCAAGGUAGAGUUGGGUGUUUGGCGGCUCUCAAACGGUUAAUGGCAGGGGGAGAGAGAGAGAAAGAAAGAAAGAAAGAAAGAAAGAAAGAAAGAAAGAAAGAAAGAAAGAAAGAAAGAAAGAAAGAGAGAAGUCUUUGUAGGGGCUUGAAUGCACAAAGCGGAGCUGGAGGAAGGAGGUGGUAGAAAGCCGGGUGGGUUUCAUUAUUGUUACGAUGAUUAUUGCACUGAUAAGGUUCGGCUGAAUGGGCUUGAACAGCCCGCGAGGAUGGUGGUGGCGAGGAUGAGAGACCGCUUCCCAGCCACGCCGAGGUGGCUUGGGAUUCCUGGGAAGCAGCCUUCCUCCUCCUCAGGUUGGGGUGGGGGGUCUCGGGAGCCGGGAGAAGGGGGUGAAAGAGAAUAGAAACCCUGCAGCCCCACUGGUAGGCGACCAGGAGGAAAGGGGGUCUCCCCCUCGUCCCCUCCCCUUGGCACCCCCAGCCGGCUUCAACUGGUCUUGGGGAACAUUUCCCCGUUUCUUUCCCACCGUCCUUCUCCUGCUCACCCACCGACACCUUUUUUUGUGUUUUAAAGUGUGCGGGGAGAGAAAUGGGGACGUUGAAUUGGCGGGGGAAGCCCCUCCGGUGAAGCAGGAAAGCGUUGGGGAAGUGACCGGAAUUCCCUUUGCAUCGGCAUUUGGUUCAGAAAGAAACGUGAAUGCUCAAGGAAGGCUUCGGCGAGGCAUCUGUCUAAUCAGUUUCCUACCCAGAUUUCCGACAGGAGUUGCUGGAAAGGAGUUCAAGAGGCUAGAACGCUUUGAGGAAGUGGGAGGGAGGGGGAGAUUAAGGGGGGGGGAGAGCCAACCCCCAAACUUUAAUCUUGACCCACUGCUCCAGAUUGCAAAACGCAUCAUCCCGAGGGGGAGGCAACUCCAUCCAGAACUGAGUUCAGACUUGGCAGGUCAGAAAGAGCGAAUGUGCAACAUGGAAAAAACUGAGGGUGGGUGUGGUGGUGGUGCGGGGGGGGGAGGGGAUGGAAAGAGUAAGAGUUUUGUUUUCGUGCACUGAAACGUUGUGUCGGAGGAUGGAGCGUUGUUUGGU